GGGGCCGUAAAGGUUUCGACAGGGGCUUUGAACAGCCGGAAGCGAGCAGAGGUGCGGUACCUCUUUAAAAGCCGCAAAUUUUAAAAUUAAACGACAACUCUAAAGUUGCUCUUGCUGCUUAAUUAAGCAGCCGUCCGACCCGGUAAUACCGCGAACCGGCAAGGGCGUCGAUUAGCGGUGAACGUGAACCGAGUAAUGCCGAUAGCUCGGUCAUGACUUAUCGGCUACUAAGCACAAAAGCGUGUCGGUUUGCUUUUGUGUAAGGGAAUGUAGAUAACCGACUGCGCUCGGAGAUGCUGACUCGGAUAGGCUUUUGGACAGGGGUUCGACUCCCCUCGGCUCCACCA
rnacentral:tmRNA from 1 species